UCUCUACCUAAAUAGCACCUCCUGGCCCGGCUUUGAAAUUCUCCUUGCUUUUCUGUGAUACUACCCAGAGGAAUUUCAUAAUUUGCCUGUGUUCCUCUGGCUUGGCAUUGGCAAAACCAGCAAGACCAUGAACCAGCACCAUCAUGGAAGGCAACAUGGUCAAGCUCUCUGAUUUCCUGGUCUGCAUUCUAGUGCCAAAUGCAUGGCUUUAAAUCCACCACGAGGAAGACAGCAGAUGUUGGGUUUAUCGUAGCCUGGGGAACUGAAAAGAAGCUUGCACUAACCUGCAUUCUGCCACAGACAGAGGUUUAAGAAAAUUUCAACAAAUCAUUCCACUGGUCUCAUAUUGCUGAAAGGGAUAUAAACAUAUAAAUGAACAGAGCUCUACCUCUGUCCUGAGCAUUUUUCCAGAUUUAUCAUUUUUAUUUUUAUUUUAUUUUAUUUAUUUAUUUAUUUAUUUUGAGAUGAG
rnacentral:lncRNA from 1 species